rnacentral:rRNA from 1 species
CUACGGGCGGCUCCAGCUAAGAAUCUUCCGCAAUGGACGAAAGUCUGACGGAGCGACGCCGCGUGAACGAUGAAGGCCGUGAGGUUGUAAAGUUCUUUUCCGAGGGGAGAAUAAGGAUGGCAGGGAAUGGCCGUCUGAUGACGUGAACUCGGGAAUAAGCCCCGGCUAACUACGUGCCAGCAGCCGCGGUAACACGUAGGGGGCGAGCGUUGUUCGGAAUCAUUGGGCGUAAAGGGUGCGCAGGCGGUUAUGCAAGUCUGGUGUGAAAGGUCUCGGCUCAACCGAGGAAACGCGCUGGAAACUGUGUAACUAGAGUACAGGAGGGGGAGUUGGAAUUCCAGGUGUAGGGGUGAAAUCUGUAGAUAUCUGGAAGAACACCGGUGGCGAAGGCGAACUUCUGGCCAUGUACUGACGCUGAGGCACGAAGGCGUGGGGAGCAAACAGGAUUAGAUACCCUCGUAGUC